UACAUUGUUGUUGGAGCCCGUGAGAUUUGCCCAUGCACUGGUGAGAAAUAGAGACUCAAAGUUAAUUUAACUAUGAAAUUAUUGUUCUUGCUAAAAAGCCAGCCAAUGUAACGAAGCAAAGAGGCAACAACUACUGUUGGUUGGUGAAUCUGCAUAUCUGUUUCCUGUUGCUUGAAAUAUGGAAGUUUCGAUCCAAUAACUGAUAAGGAAAAGAUGGGAGAGGAGGAUGAGGUGGAGGAGACAGAGAAGAAAUAUGUGUUUUUGUGAGAGUGGGGACAUUGAAGUUCUUGAUCUUAUAGAAGAUGAUGAUGUUGAUGAAGAUGAAACUGACGAAUUCAUUAGUGAAAGUAUAUAACAAGCACUCAAGUAUCAGAAAGAAUAUUUGCUUUAGAUAAAUGUAAUCUUUUUGUAAUAAAAUUUUU